rnacentral:rRNA from 1 species
AUUGAACGCUGGCGGCAUGCUUUACACAUGCAAGUCGAACGGUAACGCGGGGCAACCUGGCGACGAGUGGCGAACGGGUGAGUAAUGCAUCGGAACGUGCCCGGUCGUGGGGGAUAACUGCUCGAAAGAGCAGCUAAUACCGCAUACGCCCUGAGGGUGAAAGGGGGGGAUCGCACGACCUCUCGCUCUUGGAGCGGCCGAUGUCGGAUUAGCUAGUUGGUGGGGUAAGGGCCCACCAAGGCGACGAUCCGUAGCGGGUCUGAGAGGACGACCAGCCACACGGGGACUGAGACACGGCCCAGACUCCUACGGGAGGCAGCAGUGGGGAAUUUGGGACAAUGGACGCAAGUCUGAUCCAGCCAUGCCGCGUGCGGGAAGAAGGCCUUCGGGUUGUAAACCGCUUUUGUCAGAGAAGAAAUCUUCUGGGUUAAUACCUCGGGAGGAUGACGGUAUCUGAAGAAUAAGCACCGGCUAACUACGUGCCAGCCGCCGCGGUAA